rnacentral:rRNA from 1 species
CGGUUUCCGUGACGCAGCUAACGCAUUAAGUUCCCCGCCUGGGGAGUACGGCCGCAAGGCUAAAACUCAAAGGAAUUGACGGGGACCCGCACAAGCGGCGGAGCAUGCGGAUUAAUUCGAUGCAACGCGAAGAACCUUACCAAGGCUUGACAUAUACGAGAACGGGCCAGAAAUGGUCAACUCUUUGGACACUCGUAAACAGGUGGUGCAUGGUUGUCGUCAGCUCGUGUCGUGAGAUGUUGGGUUAAGUCCCGCAACGAGCGCAACCCUCGUUCUAUGUUGCCAGCACGUAAUGGUGGGAACUCAUGGGAUACUGCCGGGGUCAACUCGGAGGAAGGUGGGGAUGACGUCAAAUCAUCAUGCCCCUUAUGUCUUGGGCUUCACGCAUGCUACAAUGGCCGGUACAAAGGGCUGCAAUACCGUGAGGUGGAGCGAAUCCCAAAAAGCCGGUCCCAGUUCGGAUUGAGGUCUGCAACUCGACCUCAUGAAGUCGGAGUCGCUAGUAAUCGCAGAUCAGCAACGCUGCGGUGAAUACGUUCCCGGGUCUUGUACACACCGCCCGUCAAGUCAUGAAAGUCGGUAACACCUGAAGCCGGUGGCCCAACCCUUGUGGAGGGAGCCGUCGAAGGUGGGAUCGGUAAUUAGGACUAAGUC